GUGAGUAGGCGGUACUAUCUGUGAAUCGGAGUGCACGAGGGCGGAGUUUGUCGGAAUGCAGGCGGAGAAAAAACAACGGCCCCGCACACAGUGUUAACGCGAGGGGCGUGACGCUGGUAUGGCGCAGCGCCUCCACGCACAUCACCGCGCAAGUGGGAUGCAGCCCUCAGUAGGUUAAUCUGCACUUCAGGGGACUCAGCAGCUUGCUGCCGCUUACAUAUUCCCACAACUUUACACCUUUAUACUUAGCGUCAUCUAAUUUAAUCCUUUACUUUCUUUGCUCUAGUACAACUCCGUUAUUAUGGCUAUAGACGCUCCUGUUAUUUUAUCCGCUCUCUUCUUUACAAUCAUCGCCAUUAUUAUUGCCUCGGUAUUUUUAGCUAAAAAAUCUGCACCAAAGAACGGCAAGCAGAAGCGAGAAAAAGAGGCGAGACCGGAGCACACUGCUGAGGUCUCUGAGCCCCGAGUGAAGCCUACCAUAGCGGAGAAAAGACAAGAAGAGCCCGUUUCAGCACCCCCUGUGGUUGAGGAAAUUGGAGUCGCAGAUGAGCCUCCGGUCCUUGAAGCUGAAGUCGCCUCAGUAGACCAGGCACAAGUCCAGGCUGCCCCAGUAGAGGAGCCCUUACCUGAAGUCAUCCCAACCUCUGCAACUGUGGAAGUGCCCACCUCUGAGCCUGUCCCAGAGCCAGAGCUCAAACCGACCCCAGAGAAGACGCUUACAGAAUCUAUGCUUGAGCUAGUCUCAGAACCUGUCCCUGAGCAUGUUUCAGAAGCUGCCCCACAACUGGACUCAAAACCUUCUGCUGUGCUGGUGUCAGAAACUGCUCCUGAGUUGGUUUCUGAGCCAGCCCCUCAACCAGUCUCAGAACCCAUUCCUGAACAAGUCUCAGAACCAGCCCCUGAGCCAGUUUCAGAACCAGCUCCUGAACCAGUCUCACAACCGGCCCCUGAACAAAUCUCACGACUGGCCCCCGAACAAGUCUCAGAACCAGCCCCAGAACCAGUCCCAGAACCAGUCCCUGAAUCAGUCUCAGAACUGACCCCUGAAUCAGUCUCAGAACCGGCCCCUGAAAAAAUCUCAGAAACAGCCCCUGAACCCAUCUCAGAACCAGCCCCUGAACCAAUCUCAGAACCAGCCCCUGAAGCAGUUUCAGAACCUGCCCCUGAACCAGUUUUAGUACCAGCCCCUGAAUUAGUUUCAGAACCUUCCCCUGAACCAAUUUCAAAACCAGCCCCUGAACCAAUUUCAGAACCAGCCCAAGAACCAGUUUCUGAACAAAUCUCACGACUGGCCCCCGAACAAGUCUCAGAACCAGCCCCAGAACCAGUCCCUGAAUCAGUCUCAGAACUGACCCCUGAAUCAGUCUCAGAACCGGCCCCUGAAAAAAUCUCAGAAACAGCCCCUGAACCCAUCUCAGAACCAGCCCCUGAACCAAUCUCACAACAGGCCCCUAAACCAGUCUCAGAAGCAGCCCCUGAAGCAGUUUCAGAACCUGCCCCUGAACCAAUUUCAGAAACCACUCCUGAACCAAAUUCAGAACCUGCCCAAGAAUCAAUUUCAGAAUCCACUCUUGAACCAGCUUCAGAAUCUUCUCCUGAGACCACUGUAGAAGCAACUGUUGAACCAGUUUCAAAACCAGUUCCAGAACCUGUUGUGGAGCAUAAUGAUGUGGCAGCUGCCCCCAUGGAGGCUGAAGGCAAAACUCCAAGCUUCAAACCUGGCAAAAAGAAAGCCAUGAAAUUUGACACGAUGAUGACCAAGGAAGAGCUGGAGGAGGAGCAGAGGAUAGAGUUCACAAGUGACUUUACCUCUCUUUAAACAACAUGUGACAGUGUGUCUGUUUGGUCCCACUGCAUCGCCACAGUGCCAAUGAGUAGCUGAGUAAGCAGAAUGAAAGGAACAUCGCCUGGUCUUCCUGUCUGUUUUGCGUUAUGUGAGAAGGGAUCUGCAUAGAAUUACGUUUCAAGACUGCUGGAGGAAUCACCCUUUGUUGACUGUCUCAGCACCUUUCAUAUACUUGUGGAAAAUAAAUCUUGCUGUCUAGCCACCAAAGUUUCUCUCUGUGUACAGACUUGCGUUUUUGCCUGUAACAAAGCAAGCUUUACCAAACAACCUCAAAGAGCCUAAAUAUUAGCAAAGUUCUUAUUUAUGAAAGGGCAAGUGUGCUCGCUGCCCCCAAUGUGUAUGUGGUGUUUCACUGCAUGGAUGGGUUAGAUUGCGGAGGUGAAAUUUCCCCAUCAUGGGACUAAUAAGGGUAACAAUCUUAAUGUCCCCUUGCCCCAUAUCUGUUGUUUUUAGUUAUGCAACAUACUUUUGUCCAUAUUUUAGGCAACAGUAUGUCAGACUGUGUUAGAAGCUGGUCUAUUGAGAUGUCUGAACAUCUUGAUGCAGUUUGUGACAACUAUAUUUAGGCAUACAGUUUGCACAGUACUAAUUUGUGGAGCAUAAGCUUCGUGGUGUUCACAUACAUUGCUAACAUGGCUUGUCUUGACUGAUCAACUCCAUUAGGGGAAAACUGUGGAGGUAAAAAAUUUGCCUGUUUUAUCUAUUUUAGUUAGCAGGACACAAAGUGCAUUAAAGCUGUGUUUUACCCAAAAAUGAUCGCCUGGUUAACAAUGAAUGAAAGGUAAUGGUGACCAGUUAUCUUAAGUUAUUAAUGUUUUUGUUCACCGAAGAUACUUUCUGCCAUGAUAUCUGCAAAAAAAAAUGUAUUGACCCUUUUCUGUUUGUUUCAUUGGCUUUUAUAAUACAUUAUUAAUAAAAAUCCAGGUGGGUGAGCCAUUUUUCCUGAUCAUUCUUUAAUUGCUAAUGAGCAAGCAUGUUCAUAAAGCUAGCAGUGUACAAAUGGCAGUAUUUGAUUUAAAAAAUAAAAAAAUAAAAAAAUAAAAACAUUGUUUCUUUAAGAAAUUUGUGGUAUGUAGUAUGAAAUACUCGAUGGCAUAGUUAGGUUUUCAUUGACGUGCUCUAUGCAAUGCAACAGGUGCACAAAUUACCUCACUGUAAUGUUAUAAAUCAGAUUUGAAAUGUACAAAGCUUUUGACUGUUAAUCAAUUAAUCUUGAAUUUUUAAAAACAAAAAUUAACUGAUCAAUAACAAUACAUGCAGAACUUUCUAAAGAUGGCAAAUACUUUACUGGUUGAUUUUGGGAUCUUCUACCAUAGGGCUUUAACCUCAUACUACAAAUUGAUUAAAUAGAGUACUGAUUAACACUAAGGCUUUGUUGAAAUCCCUGCAUAAAAAAGCAGCAUUAAUGCUUUGAUUGUAAUAUACAGUAAAUUAAAUUGUUUACUCCAUGUUAAUGUGCUUUUUCUCCCCACCCCAGAAUGGUUGUGCAUGGGCCUGGUAACAUCAUUAGGCAGCUCAAAUACAUAGAGGGGAGAACUAACUGCCAAUUAUGUCAUCUGACAGAUGCCCAUAUUGUCCAGCAUCCUCUGAAUUACGAGGUCAUGAAGAGCUAUAGGGUUCAGCAGGAACAGAUAGCUGCCAUCUUUAAGUUGCUAAAGGAUAACCAGGACACAUUUGGUGAGGUGACUGAAGCAGACGUAGAAGAGCAGCUUAAACUCUACACAUACUAGUGCAUACUACAUAUGCAUGUAGAUAUGUAUGAGGCACAAAAAAGGACCAGCAAGUUCUUACAGGUGAUUUCAAAGUCAGGACAUCAUUGAAUUGUUCAAAAAGCACAAAGCCAGAAAAGUGUACAGAGAAUGAGCGAAAGUCAGCAGAAAACAAUUCUUCUGCAGUUUAUUUAUGAUAAAAAUGAUAAAAUAUGAUAUGAUAAAAAUAAAUGACAGUAGAAGUGAAUAUCCAGCAUGACAGGUAUGACAGAACAACAUGGUUGUACUCCAGUUACAUGUUUACUUUUUCUUUUUAAAAAAAAAAAAAAAAAAAAUCCUUUUUACUUUUAUGCCAAAAGGCAAAAAUAUUCACCCUAAAAAAAAGUUUCAAACUCCAAACCAUACCAACUAGUCUAAAUAAAGAUGUUUGCAGUGACUCUUACUUAAGUAUAUUAUGUAAGAGGUCUUCACACUCUUUGGAUUUAACAUUUGCUUACAUUAAUCAGUUUUGAAUUAUAUACAACAUCCUAAUUGAUCACAAAUUAGUACAUCAGUACAUUAGUACAUUAGAUUCAGUACAUCAAGUCUUCAGAAGCAUCUGCAUUGGAGAAUGUACACAAUUUUAUGUACAUACAUUUCUCUAAAUCUGAUCUCACUGCUGACGUCUAAUAGAUGAACUGAAGUGUCAAAAUGAAUCUCUAUCACAUAUGUUGCAGCUGUGCUAAGAACCUAAGAACCACAUCUGGUUUCUCAGUUUAGUUUGUCUUAACUAUGUGUGUCAGUUGGAGAUGCAGCUGCCACUAGAGCCCCAAGCCAUAUAUGUAAGGCUCCAAUGAUUAUAGACAGCUUGUACUUACAUAAGGGGGAACCAGGAUACUUCAUAAACUGAGGCUCUCCAAGCCAGUAAAGAGAGAGAAAGGAGAGAGAAUGCUAGCUGGAGACCAAUCUAUGUAAACUCAAUUUGUAAGUAACCUUAGCAGGUUGUAUUUUCAGUUUAACCCCUUAAUAUUCCACGGUUAUUACAUACUAAGGCUUAUUUUUCAGUAACUACAGGGAUUUCAAUGCAAACUAAUGGAGCUUUUCUUAGAUUAUAGAGUAUAGUGUGUAAUAAAACUUGCUAAGUGGUUAAUGUCUGGUUUUGUUUCUCAUGUUUAAAUAAAAUCUCCAAUUUGAACCCAUGUUUAGCCCCUGUUUGUGUUCCCUGGGGUUCUCCUUAGCUUCCCAGCCAGAGUGCCUCAGCCCUAUCCCAGGCCAACCACAUACAAUGGAAGGAAUUUUAAAGGGAAGUUCUCAAGUUAUGCACAUCACAGUGUACUCCACUCUGACCUGUAAUCAAAAUGGAACUUUUUUCACCUUGAUGGUUCAUGUUCCUGGUCAUAAGAGACCAUGUUUAUUUACCUGAAAUCUUUCAUCAAAAUGUAAAUACUUUUACCAGCCUCUAAAACAUCUUUUGAUUUUUGAUUGUCACUGUGCACUACUGGAUCCAAUAAAACAAUUAUUACCACUAAUAUGCUUCACCUUCCCCCAAACCACUCCCAUCUGUCAACGUGCAAAAACCAGUAAGCUAGCUCAGAGAUCCCCUCUAUGCCAUGUUUCACUCAGAAAUGUCUCAGUACAGAAGGAAAUGUUUAACCAUUAUAAAUUCACAUGGACUUUAAAUCUUUCUUAUUUUGUGGUGCUUUUUUGAUCAGCAGUUGUACCUCGUAUUAGGUUUGCUUACUCUGUGUUUGAGAUGUGUUGAAAAUAAAACUGUUUAAAAUCUUGA